AGGGAGGUGGAAUUCCAGGUGUAGCGGUGGAAUGCGCAGAUAUCUGGAGGAACACCAGUGGCGAAAGCGGCCCUCCUGGACCAUUCCUGACACUCAGACGCGAAAGCUAGGGUAGCAAACGGGAUUAGAGACCCCGGUAGUCCUAGCCCUAAACGAUGUAGACUAGACGUCGGCGGUGUAAUAGCUGUCGGUGUCCAAGCUAACGCGAUAAGUCUACCGCCUGGGGACUACGGCCGCAAGGUUAAAACUCAAAGGAAUUGACGGGUCCCCGCACAAGCAGCGGAGCGUGUGGUUUAAUUCGUUGCUACACGAAGAACCUUACCUGGGUUUGACAUAGCAGUGGUAGGGAAGAGAAAUCGGACCGACCCUUCGGGGAGCUGUUACAGGUGUUGCAUGGCUGUCGUCAGCUCGUGUCGUGAGAUGUUCGGUUAAGUCCGCUAACGAGCGCAACCCGCGUUGUGUGUUAUAUGUGUCACACAAUACCGCCGGUAUUAAGCCGGAGGAAGGUGCGGAUGACGUCAAGUCAGCAUGACCUUUAUAUCCAGGGCUACACACACGCUACAAUGGACAGUACAACAGGUUGCCAAGCCGCGAGGCGGAGCCAAUCCUCUAAAGCUGUCCUCAGUUCAGAUUGCAGGCUGCAACUCGCCUGCAUGAAGUUGGAGUUGCUAGUAACCGCAGGUCAGCUAUACUGCGGUGAAUACGUUCCCGGGGAUUGUA
rnacentral:rRNA from 1 species